CCUACGGGAGGCAGCAGUGGGGAAUAUUGGACAAUGGGGGAAACCCUGAUCCAGCGACGCCGCGUGAGUGAAGAAGUAUUUCGGUACGUAAAGCUCUAUCAGCAGGAAAGAAAAUGACGGUACCUGACUCAGAAGCCCCGGCUAACUACGUGCCAGCAGCCGCGGUAAUACGUAGGGGGCAAGCGUUAUCCGGAUUUACUGGGUGUAAGGGGAGCGUAGACGGCAGCGCAAGUCUGGAGUGAAAUGCCGGGGCCCAACCCCGGAACUGCUCUGGAAACUGUGAAGCUGGAGUGCAGGAGUGGUAAGCGGAAUUCAUGGUGUAGCGGUGAAAUGCGUAGAGAUCAGGAGGAACACCGGCGGCGAAGGCGGCUUACUGGACUGUAACUGACGUUGAGGCUCGAAGGCGUGGGGAGCAAACAGGAUUAGAUACCCGUGUAGUC
rnacentral:rRNA from 1 species